rnacentral:tRNA from 1 species
GGCCUCGUAGUUCAGUUGGAUAGAACACCAGUUUCCUAAACUGGGUGUCGCAGGUUCGAGUCCUGCCGAGGCUA